CCUACGGGAGGCAGCAGUGAGGAAUAUUGGUCAAUGGACGAGAGUCUGAACCAGCCAAGUAGCGUGAAGGAUGACUGCCCUAUGGGUUGUAAACUUCUUUUAUAUGGGAAUAAAAUGUUCCACGUGUGGGAUUUUGUAUGUACCAUAUGAAUAAGGAUAGGCUAACUCCGUGCCAGCAGCCGCGGUAAUACGGAGGAUCCGAGCGUUAUCCGGAUUUAUUGGGUUUAAAGGGAGCGUAGGUGGAUUGUCAAGUCAGUUGUGAAAGUUUGCGGCUCAACCGUAAAAUUGCAGUUGAAACUGGCAGUCUUGAGUACAGUAGAGGUGGGCGGAAUUCGUGGUGUAGCGGUGAAAUGCUUAGAUAUCACGAAGAACUCCGAUGGCGAAGGCAGUUCACUGGACUGCAACUGACACUGAGGCUCGAAAGUGUGGGUAUCAAACAGGAUUAGAUACCCCUGUAGUC
rnacentral:rRNA from 1 species